rnacentral:rRNA from 1 species
ACGCUGGCGGCGUGCUUACACUGCGGUUCAAACGAACUUCGGGUUAGUGCCGGACGGGUGAGUAACGCGUGAGAAUCUGCCCUCAGGAGGGGGACAACAGUUGGAAACGACUGCUAAUACCCCAUAUGCCGCGAGGUGACAAUGAAUUUCGCCUGAGGAUGAGCUCGCGUCUGAUUAGCUAGUUGGUGUAGGUAAUGGCUCACCAAGGCAUCGAUCAGUAGCUGGUCUGAGAGGAUGAUCAGCCACACUGGGACUGAGACACGGCCCAGACUCCUUCGGGAGGCACGCAGUGGGGAAUUUUCCGCAAUGGGCGAAAGCCUGACGGAGCAACGCCGCGUGAGGGAUGAAGGCCUCUGGGCUGUAAACCUCUUUUAUCAAGGAAGAAGAUCUGACGGUACUUGAUGAAUAAGCCACGGCUAAUUCCGUGCCAGUAGCCGCAGGUAAUACGGGAGUGGCAAGCGUUAUCCGGAAUUAUUGGGCGUAAAGCGUCCGAAGAGCGGACCUAUCAAGUCUGCUGUUAAAAAGUGGAGCUUCACUCCAUCAUGGCAGUGGAAACUGUUGGGCUUGAGUGUGGUAGGGGCAGAGGGAAU